AGUGAACGCUGGCGGUAGGCCUAACACAUGCAAGUCGAACGGCAGCACAGUAAGAGCUUGCUCUUACGGGUGGCGAGUGGCGGACGGGUGAGGAAUACAUCGGAAUCUACUUUUUCGUGGGGGAUAACGUAGGGAAACUUACGCUAAUACAGCAUACGACCUACGGGGGAAAGCAGGGGAUCGUCGGACCUUGCGCGAUUGAAUGAGCCGAUGUCGGAUUAGCUAGUUGGCGGGGUAAAGGCCCACCAAGGCGAGGAUCCGUAGCUGGUCUGAGAGGAUGAUCAGCCACCCUGGAACUGAGACACGGUCCAGACUCCUACGGGAGGCAGCAGUGGGGAAUAUUGGACAAUGGGCGCAAGCCUGAUCCAGCCAUCCCGCGUGUGUGGAGAAGGCCUUCGGGUUGUAAAGCCCUUUUGUUGGGAAAGAAAAGCAGCAGGUUAAUACCCCGCUGUUCUGACGGUACCCAAAGAAUAAGCACCGGCUAACUUCGUG
rnacentral:rRNA from 1 species